UCCUCCCCAGUGCCUCCAUCCCAUCCUCCCCUGUGCUGUGGGCAGGGUCCCGGCACUGGAGAGGUCCACCACCCACACAGGUAGCUCACUUUUAUGGGGCACUUACUAUCUACCAAGUACAGUUUUAAGGGUUGGACAUGUAGGAAUUCACUUAAUCAUAACAACCUUGGGGAAGGGACAGUAAUGAGACCCAUUUUCACAGGUGAGGAAACUGAGGCCGGGAGCUAGGAAGCUUGGGGAUUCAGUAACCAGCCUAAGCUCACACAUCCAGUGAGUGGCAGUGCAGGAUCUGAACCAGGAAGUCUGGUCCAGCGGCCCUGGCCUGAAGCAUAGGCUGCAUCAUCCUUCUGGUGAAUGAAGGGCCAAGGAGCUCUCUCCCUUUGCAUUGCAAAAGGCUGCCUUCUCCAAGCUGGAAGAAUUAACUGACCCCUAGGCCAAGCUGUGCCUCUUCCCUUUAGGAUUCCUCAGAAAAGUUGCAAAAAAGUCCCAAUAAGGGGAUAAGAGCUGUAAAAUCAGAUUGUUUUUAAUGCCUCUUAAGCCUUGUGUCCAGCAUUUAGCCUCUAAGACCGGCAUUCUGCCACCGAGCAAGAUGUCUCCCCCGCCCCGAUUUUCUUAUAAAGGAGGAAGGGCAAAAAUGCCGCAAACCUGGCCCCCAAAGGGGGUCCCGCUGUCCGAAGCCCCAGUCUCAGGCCGCCUGGGGGGCGGCCCCUGCCUGGGUCCCGGCGCCAAGCGCUCGCCCUGCUCUGGACCGCGCUGCAGCCUCCGCAUCCGGGAGGCACUCGGCGGAGGGCGGGGGCCGGGCCGCGGGGGCCGCUCUGCGCCUCGGAACCGGGCCCGGUUCGGGCCUCAGCAGCGCCCCAGCGCACCGCGCUCCUCCCCUCCCCUCCCCAAUCCCACCUCGGGUCCCGCGCCCUUAGAGGAAGUCGGUGGCUCGGCCCAGUCGCCAGCAGGGGGAUCGGCCCCUUCUCGCUGCUGUGCACCCGACUCGGGCUGUUCUGGGCACCGCCACGUCCUCUCGGUGGGCGCCGGUCGCCUCCUCCCGGGGCUGACCCCACGGGCCUCAGGGCCACCAGGCCACUCUUCCUUAAGCCUCGCCAGCUUGUGGGCGGCGGCCUGGGCGCGAUGUGUCACAGAGCUGUCCCCGCAGAGCGCCUCUCGGGGCGGCAGGCCGGUCCCCGCGCUGCCUCCGGCGUCUCCGCGGCUGGGCCUCCGCCGAGCCGGCUGCGGUCCACGUGGCUCCGGAGGAAGCCCCGAGCGAGCGGAGAGCCGAGCGGCGCCCGGGUGGGAGGGGGCCGGCGGGGCGGAGAGCCGCGGCGCCGAGGGCGGGCGCGGGGCGGAGGAAGGGGAGGGCCUGCGCGGCGGAGGCGCCCGCCCCGCUCCGGCGCGCCCCGGCUCCCGGCCCCGGGCGGCCUGGGAAGGCGGCUCCUCCCCGGCCGGCCCACCUCCCCCGCCCGUUACACCCGGGGGAAGGUGUUCCCGAGGCCGCUCCCAUCCUCACCCCGCCUCCCCGCUUCCCCGGCUCCAGCCUCCGCCGGCGGAGCUCCACUAUGCCAGACAGUUUCGACACUUUGCAAAGACAAAGACCAGAGGGAGGAGGAAGAGGAGGACGAGGAGGAAGAGGAGGAGGAGAGAGCGAAGGAAGAGGUUAUGUGAGCUGGGAAGAAGGCGAGGGUUCGGGAUACCCUCCUUGGAUUCCCCUCCUAACCCCCUCCUCCCCAAGCCCCGGAAACUCCAGCGUGUCCCCGGCCGCGGGCUUAAUCUCUGGCGUUGAAACGUCCCACGUCAAAGACGGUCUGGCCCUGGAGCUCCCAUGGUAACAGGUGUGCCGCCGGUUUCCCAAGGACAGAGCUGACCCAGAGGAAGUGACUAGCAAGGGAAGUCAUGAGCAGCCUCUCACCUUUGCCAGUUUGUUGGGUGACAAGUCACUGUCCUCCUGGGUGACAUGAUCAGGCCCUGCUUCCCUCUCUGACCUCGUCCUGUAAGAUUAUCCCUUUGCUCAGCACACUGGCACCGCGCCGGCCUCUCACUGACUCUUCCCUCUGUCUGAGCUCCUCCCCCCUCACCCCUGGCUCUGCGGGGAGCUCCCCUGCAACCUCUCCCCGGGGCCACCUCGCCUGUCCUCCCCUGGCAUGCCACCCCUUUAACUUCUGCACAAGUGUUUCCCGUGAUCUGCUCUGUCUGAUUUGACGUGUGACCAUCCGGACGAGAGGGCCUUUGCCUUGUUCACUGUUGUAUCAUCAGCUUCCAGAACAGGGCCAGGCACAUUCUGGGCCCCGAUGCUCGAUGACUGAUGGAUCCGGGUUGCUUAUUAUAAAGUCAAGAGUUUGGACCAAGCAGUUGCUGAGGAGCCUUCCUCCUCUUGAAAAAGUUCCCUGGACUUGAGAGCACUUCGCUUCCAGGAAUUUCUCUUCCCCACCAUCACUGCUCAGACCAGCCUCAUGCAGGGGUCUCGGUUCCUGCCCAGCGGAGCCUGAGGCAGGCAUUCGGGUGUGCAUGGAGCACUGAGGACGUGCUCCAGGAGAAGGGGCGAGGGAAGCAGGAGAGGGCAGGGGGAGGAUAGAGGCUGAGCGAGGAUGUGUCUACUGCUGGAGUUGACCUUCAGCUUGACCCCCCGGGAACCCUCGAGCACAAAGGGCACCCACCGCAGAGUUGGUCCCACUUUGAGGCGAAGGGGGCCAGCCUUAUGUAGCCGGGGGUCCCUCAGUCAUUACCUGGGGGCUGCCCAGGGUAGUGGGAGGCCAGGGAGUGGUCACCUCCCAGGCGAGGCAGCUCCUGUCUGGCUGGGGCAAUCGUCUGGAGCAAGGGGCAGCUGAGAGCUGCUAGCAGGCAAUGGCCACAGCGGCCCAGCCCAAAAAGGCCAUCAGGCUGGGCGCCAACAGCGUCUACCCCACAGGGCCCUGGCGCCCACAGUCCACCCCAGGUGGCCUCACCCCUGCUGAGGAAAGCUGAAACCUGCCUUUCCAGGUGAAGUGACUCCAAGGGUCACUGGGAGUCAUCUGCCACCCAAGGACAGUCCAGCAGCUCUUGGUAACCACCCCUGUCCCUCAGAGCCACUCAGGUUUCCUGCUCGUCCUCCAGCCCAGAGAAGAAAGAUUUAACGGACUUCCUUCUCUUAGUGUACCUACUGUGUGCCAGGAACUUUUUUGGGAGCUUUGCAUGUAUAAUCUCAUUGAACUCCCUCAACAACCCCACAAGGUGGGUCUUGGAAUGCCGAUGUCUACAAGAUGGAAGCCACGCUCUCAAGAACCAGUGCCAGGCUCGCCGCCUCCCUGAAGCCCUCCGGUCCAGCACGGCUUGUGCCGAUCUCUCCUGUCUCUUCUCUAACACAGAGCAUCCCAUCUCUUUCUCUGGAGACCAUGCCUCUACCUUCCCGCGCCCACUCUCCCCACACAGUGCCUAUCGCAAGGCUUGGGGGAAAGCAGACCAACAAACCAGGACCCCACAAACAAUCCAGAGCCCACCAACUCCUUGUGUAUAUCCUGAACUGAAUUCACAGUGACUGCCCGCUUCCCGUUCCAGGGUCCAGGGAGUGCGUGAACGGGCUUGACUGACCCAGAAAGAGACAAGGGGUUAUGAAGCGACUCAAAGAAAAGCUUGUUGGAUUGCAUUGAGUUUUGGUAAAUCCACCCACGAGGCAGAGAAACUUGACAUUAUUUGCCUUCCCAGCCGGCAUAAGGAAUGAGUCUCGUUUCCUCCUAGACGAGCUGAGGGCGGUGGAAGAUGCCUGGGCUGGAGUCAGGAGACCACGGUUCUGUUGCAAGUUCCAGGGCCAGUGGGCUGUGUGACCUUGGGGAAGAUGCUCCCCUUCUCCAAACCUCAGUUUCUCAUCUCUGCAGUGGGACUGGACGGGGAGAAGAGGAGCUAGCUCCUCAAGGUGCCUUCCAGCCUUCCUUCCAGUCCUUGCUUCCUUGCCCCUGGGUCUGGAGAGCUCAGCUUUGCCUUCACAAGAACAAGUGCCUCCCUGCUCCUCCCAUAGCCUGCUGCCCCUCUGAGUGGGACCAGCCCCUCCUCCUGUAGGUUGCAGACCUCCGGCUAUCUCCACUGAAGGACCGCUUGCUUUAAGGAUGUACUGAGAGAGGAGCUCUUGAUUCGAAUCCAGCCCCAUCCACCUGCAGCCUCCACACGGCACACCGUCAUCUUCCUUGCCAGCCAUAUUGAACACUUACUGUCAGGCUUUGUGCUGAGAACUUUCUGUCAUCUCUCACCGAAUCCUUGCAACAACCCCAGGAUGUGGGUGCUUUUAUUCUCUCUCUUCUGCAGAUGAGGAAACUGAGGCUUGGAGAAGUGACGUGGCUUAUCCAAAGCCACAGAGCUGGUGCGUGGCGGAGCCUGGGCUGGAAGUCAGUCCUCCGGACCACCUGCUCAGUUCUACUCAGCGUGAAUGUUGGUAGGAGACAGAAUAACUGCGAAAGGAAGGCUGCAUGUGUCAGCUUUGCUGCAUAGCAAACAAUCCCCAAGUCUCAGCGACUUACAACAGAUGCUUAUUUCUUAUUCCCGUCACGAGUAGACUGAGGGUCAAUUGCAGGCCACCCGUGGCUCAGCGAUGCUCCUGGCGUUUUCUUGUUCUCGGUCGAAGGUCAACGUUGAAGGUGGUCGCAGUCUAGACAUGCCCCGCCCGUGCCAGAACUGAAAGAACCAUGCAAUCAAACUGAAAGCUUCCUCUUAGAGAUGGCCCCGGUCCUAUCUGUUCAUACUCUGUUGGGCAAAGCAAGGGAGAUGACCAAGCCCAGCAUCAGUGGAACGGGGAGGUGCAGCCCUCCCACAGCGGGGGGUGUGAGGCAAUAAAUGUUUGCGUUAUGCAACUGGCCACAGACCGCUGGGCUCUGCGGCCAGAUGCGUGGGGCUGACCCCUGGCUCUGCAUCUUUGAAGCCACGUGGCCUUCAGCACAGUGCUUCACAUCCCGGUGCCUCAGCUUCCCCAUCUGUAACAUGGGGAUGCUCAUUAUAGCUCUGUAGCAGUCUCCAAGGGCUGCUGUAACAAAGCACCACAAACUGUGUGGCUUAAACAAGAGAAACGUAUUUUCUCACAGUGCCAGGGGCUAGAAGUCCAAGAUCAAGGUGCUGUCAGGGUUGGUUUCUGGUGAGGCCUCUCUUCCUGGCGUGUGGACAGCCAGCUUCUCGCUGUGUCUUCACACGGCCUUUCUUCUGUGUGUGCAAAGAGAGCACUGUCUGGUCUCCCUUUUCCUAUAAGGGCACCAGCCCUGUCGGAUUAGGGCCGCACCUUAUCACCUCUUUUAACCUUAACUACUUCCCUGAAGGCCCUAUCUCCCCAUACAGUCACAACAUAUGACUUUGUGGGGACACAAUUCAGUCCAUCGCAAGGCGCUAUUCCAUAGGGCUGUUGGGAGGAUUGAGUGGGUCAGUGCCUGGCUCACAGGGGAGCACUGAAGAGAUGCUAGGUUGCUAUUGGUACUUGGUUGUGUCUUGUCCCAUGCUAUGCUCAUUGCACAUUCCCCGGCAAUGAGGAGUCCUCAUUCCUUUUAUCUUUAUAUCCUUGGUACCCAUCUCAAUUUCAGGCACAGACUAGGUGAUCAGAAAAUAUAUUUUUGGAAUCCUACAAUAAAGCACAAGGCAGUUUCCAGGAGCCAACCAGGGUUGGGGGUCGCUGGGCUGUGCUCCCAGCUACGUCACUAACCGGCAUGUGACCUUGGGCAAGACUCUGUCUUAUGCCAACCAGGAUCCAUCAUAUUAAGACAGAGGUCGUUUUACCAGCAAAAUCUCAGCAGAUUUCAUUUUUCCAUGGCUUUUUUGCCUACACUGCAGUAGUUGGGCAACGUUCAGAGCCAAAGUUGACUUAGAGAGAUCUUUUUUUUAACAAAUAUCUUGUUAUAAACUCCAAAGUGGCUGCAAUUCUCCAAGCCCCCUCCCACAGGUACUGUCCCCCACCAGCAAAGCACCACAGUGACCGUGCGUGACAGCGCUGGGCAUAGCUGGGCACCAGGAGGACUUAUUCUUGCUGCUUUGUGUCUGGGGAGGUUUCUGAGUCUUGCUUAUGAGUCUGGGUGUGUUUUGAUCUUAAAUAGCCACUCACAGAUGCAGAACCACCAGGCUCGGAGCGACCUCUUGGGAUUCCGUGGCAGCGCUCAAAAACCUCGUGUCUGUCUCUCCUUCGUAAUUUGUGUUACCUUUCCCGCGUCUGGCCUUGCUUAGGAAGGGCUGUGUCUGAGGUCAUUUGUUUAGCAGAGGGCUCCAUUAGCUGGGGAUGAAAACAUCAAAGGACAUGGGGACAGCCAGCCUUUCCAAGCUCUCUGCCUGAUGUACCUCAGCUCGGCAGUGUCACAGAGAGCACUAUGUGAAAGUUCUGGGCCUCCUCCCAGUGGCUGUGAAUUAAUUAUUGGUAUGAUGAAUAAUUCAGUGUGUGUGGACUCUCUCAGGCUUCAUUUCCUGAGAAAUGGGAACAGUGAUACUUUGCAUGAGGCAUGUGGCAUCUGACCCAGAGUAGUUGAUGAUGGUGAGGAGAUGAUGAUGAUGGUGAUGGUGAUUGUGAUGGUGGUGAUGAUGAUGGUGCUGGUGGUGGUG